GCCUCCUACGUGCAGUCGAACGCUUCUUUCCUCCCGAGUGCUUGCACUCAAUUGGAAAGAGGAGUGGCGGACGGGUGAGUAACACGUGGGUAACCUACCCAUCAGAGGGGGAUAACACUUGGAAACAGGUGCUAAUACCGCAUAACAGUUUAUGCCGCAUGGCAUAAGAGUGAAAGGCGCUUUCGGGUGUCGCUGAUGGAUGGACCCGCGGUGCAUUAGCUAGUUGGUGAGGUAACGGCUCACCAAGGCCACGAUGCAUAGCCGACCUGAGAGGGUGAUCGGCCACACUGGGACUGAGACACGGCCCAGACUCCUACGGGAGGCAGCAGUAGGGAAUCUUCGGCAAUGGACGAAAGUCUGACCGAGCAACGCCGCGUGAGUGAAGAAGGUUUUCGGAUCGUAAAACUCUGUUGUUAGAGAAGAACAAGGACGUUAGUAACUGAACGUCCCCUGACGGUAUCUAACCACCAAGCCACGGCUAACUACAUGCCAGCAGCCGCGGUAAUACGUAAGUGGCAAGCGUUGUCCGGAUUUAUUGGGCGUAAAACGAGCGCAGGCGCGCUCUUAAGGCUGACGUGCAAAUCCUCUGAUCUUUCAGGGAGGGGCGGUGGUACCCCGGAGGAGUGUUUUUUGAAGAUGAUGCUGCAAUUCUGAGGGGAAAACCCCCACAGCUUAUACUCACUCGUCUUACACGUGUGGGCACCAGGGGGUCUAUCUCCUGCGUGUUUCGCCCCCCACUUUUAACAACCUCGGCGACAUAAACAAAAAAGAGACCCGGCUCCCCCCGCGGGUCUCCCUCAUAUACUCACUUUUUCAGCGCUCCGGCAGGAAAUUCCUC
rnacentral:rRNA from 1 species